rnacentral:rRNA from 1 species
UACCAUCACCCCGAGUGGUCGGGACGUUUAUUGGGCCUAAAGCAUCCGUAGCCGGUUCUACAAGUCUUCCGUUAAAUCCAGCUGCUUAACAGAUGGGCUGCGGAAGAUACUAUGGAGCUAGGAGGCGGGAGAGGCAAGCGGUACUCGAUGGGUAGGGGUAAAAUCCGUUGAUCCAUUGAAGACCACCAGUGGCGAAGGCGGCUUGCCAGAACGCGCUCGACGGUGAGGGAUGAAAGCUGGGGGAGCAAACCGG